rnacentral:tRNA from 1 species
GGCGCUCUAGCUCAGUCGGUAGAGCAACGGACUGAAAAUCCGUGUGUGCCCAGUUCGAUUCUGGGGGGCGCCACUA